GUGAGGAAUAUUGGUCAAUGGGCGCAAGCCUGAACCAGCCAUGCCGCGUGGAGGAUGAAGGUCCUCUGGAUUGUAAACUUCUUUUAUAUGGGACGAAAAAAGGCUUUUCUAAGUCGUCUGACGGUACCAUAUGAAUAAGCACCGGCUAACUCCGUGCCAGCAGCCGCGGUAAUACGGAGGGUGCAAGCGUUAUCCGGAUUCACUGGGUUUAAAGGGUGCGUAGGUGGAUUGCCAAGUCCGUGGUGAAAUCUUCGAGCUUAACUCGGAAACUGCCAUGGAUACUGGUGAUCUUGAAUAUCGUGGAGGUUAGCGGAAUAUGUCAUGUAGCGGUGAAAUGCUUAGAUAUGACAUAGAACACCAAUUGCGAAGGCAGCUGGCUACGCGAAUAUUGACACUCAGGCACGAAAGCGUGGGGAUCAAACAGGAUUAGAAACCCGAGUAGUCC
rnacentral:rRNA from 1 species